UUGGUGUCUGGUUCUUGUCAACCUGCUUGGUA
rnacentral:piRNA from 1 species